rnacentral:rRNA from 1 species
CCUGACUGCUAUCGGAUUGAUACUAAGCCAUGCGAGUCUUUGUAGUAAUACAAGGCAGACGGCUCAGUAACACGUAGUCAACCUACCCUAUGGACGAGAAUAAUCUCGGGAAACUGAGCAUAAUUCUCGAUAGAUCAUAAUGCCUGGAAUGGUUUAUGGUUAAAAUGAUUCGUCGCCAUAGGAUGGGACUGCGGCCUAUCAGCUUGUUGGUGAGGUAAUGGCCCACCAAGGCGAUUACAGGUACGGGCUCUGAGAGGAGAAGCCCGGAGAUGGGUACUGAGACACGGACCCAGGCCCUAUGGGGCGCAGCAGGCGAGAAAACUUUGCAAUGUGCGAAAGCACGACAAGGUUAAUCCGAGUGAUUUCUGCUAAAGAAAUCUUUUGUCAGUCAUAAAACCACUGGCGAAUAAGGGGUGGGCAAGUUCUGGUGUCAGCCGCCGCGGUAAAACCAGCACCUCAAGUGGUCAGGAUGAUUAUUGGGCCUAAAGCAUCCGUAGCCGGCUUUGUUAGUUUUCGGUUAAAUCCAUGUGCUCAACACAUGGGCUGCCGAAAAUACUGCAUGGCUAGGGAGUGGGAGAGGUAGACGGUACUCAAUAGGAAGGGGUAAAAUCCUUUGAUCUAUUGAUGACCACCUGUGGCGAAGGCGGUCUACCAGAACACGUUCGACGGUGAGGGAUGAAAGCUGGGGGAGCAAACCGGAUUAGAUACCCGGGUAGUCCCAGCUGUAAACGAUGCAGACUCGAUGAUGCAUUGGCAUAAUAGCCAGUGCAGUGUCGCAGGGAAGCCGUUAAGUCUGCCGCCUGGGAAGUACGUACGCAAGUAUGAAACUUAAAGGAAUUGGCGGGGGAGCACCACAAGGGGUGAAGCCUGCGGUUC